CCAAGAGGAUCCCCUCUUCUGUUACACGUUCACUCAUGUGGAAGAGCUAGCAGACUCUCUAAAACAUUUUCCAAAAGACAUCCUUCACAAUUCAGCC
ensembl:misc_RNA